GUGGGCGUUCGUUGGCCCCGCGGUUUCGGGCUCCUGCUUUCUGGGGACAGCCAGCAUGGCCCUGAAGUCCGCCGCCCUUCAGAGCGCGCCCCUCAGAGCCCAGGGGUGCCCGCGCCCGCUCCGGUCCCUCCGCCUUCUGCGGAAGGAAAACCAGGCCCUGGCUCGCUGGGACGGGUCCUUUCGGGGACUGCGGCUGCUUCCCUGUUCGUAGACUCAGCAGCCGGCGAUGUGACUUCAAGGCCCCCUCGAGCUCUGCCUUCUUAAAAAAUAAAACGUAGACCUCUCCUUAGCCAUGUGGGUUAUGUGAGAGCAGCCUGAUGUGGUGCUGCUAUUCAUUCAUUCAUUAGUUCAUUCACUCAUCUGGGAUCGAGAGCAUGGUGUGCCAGGCACCUUAGCAGAGCAGAAGACAGAGCGAGAACCCGGCAGACACCGCCACUGCUCCUGUGGGAUCUGAGGUUUAGUGGGGACACAAGGAAUUGAGCACAUGGCACGGAAAGUGCCCUUAAACCAGCCCGGGAAGAUGAAGGCGAGCUUCCUGGAGGAAGAGGCACCUAAGCUGAUGACUGAAGGAAAACGAUGUCUGUAUGGGUCUCCCCGGUUUUGCCCACAACUGCAGGGUCCUAUGGAUGCCCAGUGGAGCCCACGGUGAGAACCUGAGGGUGAGGCUGAAGAGACCAUGCUCCCCUGUGAUGGAGAAACUGAAAUUCAAGAGGCUAAGAAACCUAACCCACAGCCUGCAGCCUGAGAGAGGAGGAGAGCUGAAAUUGGAACCCAGCUCCAUGGAACUCCAGAGUGGGAUCAUGCAGCAACUUGAGGGCUGAGCUAGCACUUCCAUUGACUCAUGGUGUGAAAUAUUUAAUCCAUGUGGUUGCUCCUCCAGGGACCCUCUCAUGUGGUAGGGAGAGCUGCUGUGGAUGGGAAAACCCUGUUUAUAGAAAUUGCCAAUAGCACAAAGCACAUGGUAGGUGCUUAAUAAAUAUUUACCUAAUAAACACCUAAUAUUUUUUCCUUUGUAGAAUUGAGGAACUGAGCCCUGGAGGGUAGAGUAGAAUGUGUUACACUGAGACCCUCUCCUCCCCUGCCUCAUCCUUGGCUUUAAAGCCCUGUGCAGUCAGCUGGAGAGACCAGUGUCCUGGGCCCUUGCCCUGCAAGGAGGCUGGGCUGGGUGGGAUUCCCAUGGAAAGUUCCUCCCGCAGGCCACUAAUGGGGAUGGGAGGCACUGCCUGGGGAUGGGAGGCACUGCCUGGCCAUGUGCAGCUUCUUCUCGUUUGUUUCUGCUGAGUCCUAAUAUGAUUAAUCCUCUUCUGGGUGAUGAGAAAAGAAUACACAAUGAAGGAGAUUCUGCCCUUGUCCUCACCUCCUAUACAGAAGUCCGGGCUCCCUUUCAGCUGGCACAAACCCUGACACUUAUAAGACAAGACCAUCUGUGUUGGAGGGGCUUCCCAGGCCUGUGCUUUGCAGGUACACCCAGCAUCUCAAGCAUGUAUCCCUCUGAGAAAGGAGACAGUCCAUUGUGUGUGUGUGUGUGUCUGUCUGUGUGUGUGUGUUGGGGGUGGGGAGCUCACUUGUCAGAAAUUUGCCACCAGGAUCCUGUGCCUUUCCUUUAAGGGGAGAAUACUUGUUUCUUACUGUGGGCACUUUGGACCCCCUUAUAUUACAGGCAUAAUGUCUCUGUGCUUUGUUAGGGAAGUGGAGCAACUCAGAAGAGGCCACUGGCUGGGACAGGUGAUGUCCCUUUCUCUGCCUUGUUUCUUAGGUCUCUCUAUUUAUUUAUUUC
rnacentral:lncRNA from 1 species